AUUAAGUGAGCAUGUUUAUGUAACUGAGUUAGAAUUAGUAGAAAGUAGGAAACUAUUACUUAAUU
rnacentral:tRNA from 1 species